UCUCCCUUCUCGGGAGACUCUCUCAACCCCCACGAACCCUUGACCUCAAAUCGGGUGAGACUACCCGCUGAACUUAACCCUGGUAAUCUGAUGCAUGCUAUCGCCGUGAUAUGUAGUAUAGUAUGGUACACC
rnacentral:rRNA from 1 species